UACGAAGGGGGCUAGCGUUGUUCGGAAUUACUGGGCGUAAAGCGCACGUAGGCGGAUAUUUAAGUCAGGGGUGAAAUCCCAGAGCUCAACUCUGGAACUGCCUUUGAUACUGGGUAUCUUGAGUCCGGAAGAGGUGAGUGGAAUUCCGCGUGUAGCAGUGAAAUUCGUAGAUAUUCGCAGGAACACCAGUGGCGAAGGCGACUUGCUGGAUCUUUGCUGACGCUGAGACGCGAAAGCGUGGGGAGCAAACAGGAUUAGAUA
rnacentral:rRNA from 1 species